rnacentral:rRNA from 1 species
UUUAAUAAAAUAUUAUAAUACCUGCUCAAUGAAUAAUUUUUAAUAGCCGCGUAAGUGCUAAGGUAGCAUAAUAAUUAGUUUUUUAAUUGAAAAAUGGAAUGAAAGGUUUUAUAAAAUUAUAAUUAUUUUACAAAUUUUAUGAAUUUAAAAGUUAAGUGAAAAUUCUUAAAAAAUUUUUUUAGACGAGAAGACCCUAUGAAACUAAAAAAUUUAAUAAAAACUAAAAUAUUUUAAUAAUUUUAUUUUUUGGGGAAAAAAAAAAUUUUUUUAUUAUAACAAUUAUAUUAUAAAAUAUCCUUUCGGAAUUAUUAGAUAGUUCCUCUAGGGAUAACAGCAUAAUGUUUAUAAAAGAUCAUAUUAAAAUAAAUGUUUGUGACCUCGAUGUUGAAUUAAAUUUUUAUAUAUGUGAAGAAGCUUAUAUAAAUUAGUCUGUUCGACUAAGUAUAU